AGUCGAGGGGCAGCACGAACUUAGCUUGCUAAGUUUGAUGGCGACCGGCGCACGGGUGAGUAACACGUAUCCAACCUGCCGAUGACUCGGGGAUAGCCUUUCGAAAGAAAGAUUAAUACCCGAUGGCAUAAUUCUUCCGCAUGGUAGAAUUAUUAAAGAAUUUCGGUCAUCGAUGGGGAUGCGUUCCAUUAGGUUGUUGGCGGGGUAACGGCCCACCAAGCCUUCGAUGGAUAGGGGUUCUGAGAGGAAGGUCCCCCACAUUGGAACUGAGACACGGUCCAAACUCCUACGGGAGGCAGCAGUGAGGAAUAUUGGUCAAUGGACGAGAGUCUGAACCAGCCAAGUAGCGUGAAGGAUGACUGCCCUAUGGGUUGUAAACUUCUUUUAUACGGGAAUAAAGUGAGGCACGUGUGCCUUUUUGUAUGUACCGUAUGAAUAAGGAUCGGCUAACUCCGUGCCAGCAGCCGCGGUAAUACGGAGGAUCCGAGCGUUAUCCGGAUUUAUUGGGUUUAAAAGGGAGCGUAGGCGGACGCUUAAGUCAGUUGUGAAAGUUUGCGGCUC
rnacentral:rRNA from 1 species